UACAGAGGGUGCGAGCGUUAAUCGGAAUUACUGGGCGUAAAGCGCACGUAGGCGGUUUUGUAAGUCGGAUGUGAAAGCCCCGGGCUUAACCUGGGAACUGCAUUCGAGACCGCAAGACUAGAGUAUGGGAGAGGGCAGUGGAAUUUCCGGUGUAGCGGUGAAAUGCGUAGAUAUCGGAAGGAACAUCAGUAGCGAAAGCGACUGCCUGGCCCAAUACUGACGCUCAUGUGCGAAAGCGUGGGGAGCAAACAGG
rnacentral:rRNA from 1 species